UGCGCGUGCUUACCAUGCAAGUCGAACGGUGAAAGAGAGCUUGCUCUCUGGAUCAGUGGCGAACGGGUGAGUAACACGUGAGCAAUCUGCCCCUGACUCUGGGAUAAGCGCUGGAAACGGCGUCUAAUACCGGAUACGAGCUGCGAAGGCAUCUUCAGCAGCUGGAAAGAACUUCGGUCAGGGAUGAGCUCGCGGCCUAUCAGCUAGUUGGUGAGGUAAUGGCUCACCAAGGCGUCGACGGGUAGCCGGCCUGAGAGGGUGACCGGCCACACUGGGACUGAGACACGGCCCAGACUCCUACGGGAGGCAGCAGUGGGGAAUAUUGCACAAUGGGCGCAAGCCUGAUGCAGCAACGCCGCGUGAGGGACGACGGCCUUCGGGUUGUAAACCUCUUUUAGCAGGGAAGAAGCGAAAGUGACGGUACCUGCAGAAAAAGCACCGGCUAACUACGUGCCAGCAGCCGCGGUAAUACGUAGGGUGCAAGCGUUAUCCGGAAUUAUUGGGCGUAAAGAGCUCGUAGGCGGUUUGUCGCGUCUGCUGUGAAAACUGGGGGCUCAACCCCCAGCCUGCAGUGGGUACGGGCAGACUAGAGUGCGGUAGGGGAGAUUGGAAUUCCUGGUGUAGCGGUGGAAUGCGCAGAUAUCAGGAGGAACACCGAUGGCGAAGGCAGAUCUCUGGGCCGUAACUGACGCUGAGGAGCGAAAGGGUGGGGAGCAAACAGGCUUAGAUACCCUGGUAGUCCACCCCGUAAACGUUGGGAACUAGUUGUGGGGUCCAUUCCACGGAUUCCGUGACGCAGCUAACGCAUUAAGUUCCCCGCCUGGGGAGUACGGCCGCAAGGCUAAACUCAG
rnacentral:rRNA from 1 species